GUUAUUUUAUGUUUAUUAUUGCCAUUUGCGUAGUUUCUUCUGUUACCUAUUUCUACAUUUGACUCUGGCUUCUUUUAAAUCGAGUUUUCUCUUGUUUAAUGCAUUGUGGUUGUUUAUUCCUCAUUUGCUAAAGGAAUAGGGGCCGGUUGAGAUAUCAAAAGUCAUGAGUAUACAUCCAUCGCCUGUCUCAAAGCAGAAACCUUUAUCCUUUGGUAAUCUCAUGUGCUUUUUUUCAAUUUAAGUUCAAAAGUGCAUUUUAGUGUUUAGUGUAGCAACCAUUUCUCUGAACUAUUAUUCAUUAUUGUUUAGUGACCAAAAGAGGCCCGCCUCUAUGUGCGGAAUUUUCUUUCUGCAUAGAGGACUCAUCAUUUUGAACUCAUCAGGGUUCCUGUACUCAACCGACUUGUUGGGUACUGAGACAUGACUGUGACACCAUCUGAACAAAAACUGUGAAUAAAAUCAGAAGCAAUUUUAAAACAACACAUGGUGUUGGGGCUAAGAAUACCACCAGCUUUUCAUUGAAAGUAAUGACAAGACAGAAACAUGCGUCCAACGGGUAUAUCCAAUACACUACAAUUACUUAAACAACUUUGAAAAUCGUACAUAAGUGUUUUUU
rnacentral:lncRNA from 1 species